ACCCUUACUGGGCAGGGAACAUACCAUGAUCAAGAAGGUGGUUUUCCCAGGGCUAGGUGUAUCCAUUGCGCUCUGAAAUGCUGACCCCUGUGAUUUUCCCAAAUGUGGGAAACUUGACUGCAUAAUUUGUGGUAGUGGGGGACUGCAUUUGUGCUUUCCUCUG